UACGGAGGGUGCGAGCGUUAUCCGGAAUCACUGGGUUUAAAGGGUGCGUAGGCGGCUCGGUAAGUCAGUUGUGAAAGCCCCUUGCUUAACGAGGGAGGUGCGAUUGAUACUGUCGAGCUUGAAUCGGGAUGAGGCAGGCGGAAUGUGGCAUGUAGCGGUGAAAUGCAUAGAGAUGCCAUAGAACACCGAUUGCGAAGGCAGCCUGCUGGGCCUGUAUUGACGAUGAGGCACGAAAGAGUGGGGAGCAAACAGG
rnacentral:rRNA from 1 species